AACUUCUGAAUGUUGACCUCGGAUCAGGUAGGAAUACCCGCUGAACUUAAGCAUAUCAAUAAGCGGAGGAAAAGAAACCAACAGGGAUUGCCCUAGUAACGGCGAGUGAAGCGGCAACAGCUCAAAUUUGAAAUCUGGCUUUCGGGCCCGAGUUGUAAUUUGUAGAGGAUACUUUUGAUGCGGUGCCUUCCGAGUUCCCUGGAACGGGACGCCAUAGAGGGUGAGAGCCCCGUCUGGUUGGAUGCCAAAUCUCUGUAAAGUUCCUUCGACGAGUCGAGUAGUUUGGGAAUGCUGCUCUAAAUGGGAGGUAUAUGUCUUCUAAAGCUAAAUAUUGGCCAGAGACCGAUAGCGCACAAGUAGAGUGAUCGAAAGAUGAAAAGCACUUUGAAAAGAGAGUUAAAAAGUACGUGAAAUUGUUGAAAGGGAAGCGUUUAUGACCAGACUUGGACUUGGUUAAUCAUCUGGGGUUCUCUCCAGUGCACUUUUCCAGUUCAGGCCAGCAUCAGUUUUCGCCGGGGGAUAAAGGCAGCGGGAAUGUGGCUCUCUUCGGGGAGUGUUAUAGCCCGCUGUGUAAUACCCUGGUGGGGA
rnacentral:rRNA from 2 species